rnacentral:rRNA from 1 species
UACGAAGGGGGCUAGCGUUGCUCGGAAUUACUGGGCGUAAAGGGCGCGUAGGCGGAUAGUUUAGUCAGAGGUGAAAGCCCAGGGCUCAACCCUGGAAUUGCCUUUAAGACUGCAUCGCUAGAAUUGUGGAGAGGUAAGUGGAAUUCCGAGUGUAGAGGUGAAAUUCGUAGAUAUUCGGAAGAACACCAGUGGCGAAGGCGACUUACUGGACACAUAUUGACGCUGAGGUGCGAAAGCGUGGGGAGCAAACAGG